rnacentral:rRNA from 1 species
CCGCCUGCCCUGUGACUUAGUUUAACGGCCGCGGUAUCUUAACCGUGCGAAGGUAGCACAAUAAAUUGUUCUCUAAAUAAGGACUAGUAUGAAUGGCACCACGAGGGCUCAACUGUCUCCUUCCUCCAAUCAAUGAAAUUGAUCUUCUCGUGAAGAAGCGAGAAUAUUAUUAUUAGACGAGAAGACCCCAUGGAGCUUUAAACUUAUUACCAGUUACUUAACCUCUAAACCACAAUAUGUAGUAAAAAUGUUCUUAAUAGUUUUCGGCUGGGGUGGCCCUGGAGUAAAACAAACCCUCCAGAAUGAACGGAAUAAUAAUCCUAAUCUAAGAAUUACAACUCAAAGAAUCAAAAAACUGACAUUAUUGAUCCAAUUAUUUGAUUAACGAAACAAGUUACCCUGGGGAUAACAGCGCAAUCCAUUUUGAGAGCCCCUAUCAACAAAUGGGUUUACGACCUCGAUGUUGGAUCGGGGUAUCCCGGUGGCGCAGCCGCUACUAAUGGUUCGUUUGUUCAACGAUUAAUAACCCCACGUGAUCU